rnacentral:misc_RNA from 1 species
GUCUGCUCCCAAGCCACUUCCCUAGAAAUGAGACAGACAAGCAAACAUUAUUGCCAUGCAUAUGGGUGCAAGCAAAAUUAUUAGCCUUCUUCAAACACAGAGACAAAGUUGAGACUGGGUUAAAACUAGUAUAUGUAUAUGCUAAUAUUGCUAGUAUUGCAACAACAACAGCUAAAUCUUAAUCCCAAAUUAAUUAGGAUUGGCUACAUGGAUCUUUUUUUUCCAUUCAGCUCUGUUCUGUUUGAA